rnacentral:rRNA from 1 species
AGCAGCCGCCGCGGUAAUACGUAGGGUGCAAGCGUUAAUCGGAAUUACUGGGCGUAAAGCGUGCGUAGGUGGUGGUUUAAGUCCGUUGUGAAAGCCCUGGGCUCAACCUGGGAAUUGCAGUGGAUACUGGGUCACUAGAGUGUGGUAGAGGAUAGUGGAAUUUCCGGUGUAGCAGUGAAAUGCGUAGAGAUCGGAAGGAACAUCUGUGGCGAAGGCGACUAUCUGGGCCAACACUGACACUGAGGCACGAAAGCGUGGGGAGCAAACAGGAUUAGAUACCCCCGUAGUCCCUGUCUCUUAUAA